UUUAAAUCCAGGACUGUCUUAAUUGACCUGGAGUUCCAUAACAGCUAUUUAUAAUUCAAGAAACAUGCUUUGGCUUCUAUGUAUGAUCUUCAAGACAACGCUAUCCACAAACACUGUUACCUGUGGAAGAUAUGGACUAAUGUAUGACAGUGACUGUGGUGGUGGUCUUGUUGCCUACUUUUAUCUUUUUAGAUGGGGUCUUAGUGUGUUGUCCAGACUACAGUGCAAUGGUGCGAUCAUUGCUCACUGCACCCUCUGAACUUCUGGGCUCAAGUGUUCCUUCCGCCUCAGCCUCCCAAAGUGCUGGAAUUACAGACGUGAACCAUCGUGCCUGGCUUCUUGCUGCCUACUUAGAAAGUGGAGGGAGACAUUUAGAAAUUCCAACUUGCCAAAGUGUGCUAGUAAGAGCUUCAGUGACCAGGGCCUCAUUAUUCCUUCAUCAGUCUCCUGAAUCACCAAUUUCUGCCUCUUCACUGGAUCACUGCCAGUACUAUAGAUACUAACAUGCUACGAUAUCUUAAUAAAAUCCUCCCUAAAAAUA